CCCCAGCUUAGCAGCAGUAACGCCAUUUUGCAAGGCUGUACUUAAGAUGACUGGUUCAGGGAAAGGUUAGAACACUGAGUACACAGCGGCUGCCAAGCAGGAUGUGUUUGGUUGAAGGCCUGGCAACAGGACGACUUCGGUUGAGCACCUGACAAUGAAAAAAAAGCCCCGGGAGAGGUCCCACACCCUGGUGGGGGGCCGAGUCAGUCCUUAUGUUCCAAGAAGGUAGCUAAGAAACUUGCCCCCGGGCUGAACCCUUGGGGGGCUGAGUCAGCCGUUAUGUUUCAGGAAGGUAGCUAGGAAACUUGCCCCCGGGCUAAACCCUUGCCAUAUUAGAAUCCACCAAUUAUAUCCCUGUAACCAUGCAUCUGCUUCUGUAUGCUUGCUUCUGCUCCCCAAAAUCCUAUAAAAGCCCAUCCUUGGUUCCGUGGGGCACGCCAGUCCCCCGAGUGACUGAAGCGCCCGCAGGUGCCUGUGCCUGUGUAUCCCGACAAUAAACCAAAUCCUCUUGCUGAUUGCAUCCUGUGGUGUCUCGGUCUGGUCUUUGGAGUUGGAGGGUCUCCAUCCCGAGGGAAAGUUCUCCCUGAGAGCUUUUCAUUUGGUGUAUUGGCCGGGAAAGGAGAUCCUCCACCCAGGGACCACCGACCACCCACUGGGAGGUAAGCCGGCCGGCGUCUGUCUGUCUGUCUGAUUUUGUCUCGUUCUGCCUUAUUCUGUCUGUUCUGUGAGUGCUCAGCCGGGUCUGUUCUGUGAGCGCUCAGCCGGGUCUGUUCUGUGAGCGCUCAGCCAGGUUGUUUGGAAUUUGGGCGGGACGAAGAAGGAGCUGACGAGCUCGGACUUCUCGCCCCGCAGCCCUGGAAGACGUUCCAAGGGUGUUAAGGGCCUGACUUUUCGGGGCCCAAUCUGGGACUCUGGUUAGAGGAGAAGGAUCCGGACUAACGGCACCUCUGUCUGUAUUUUUGGCUUUCAGAGGGCCCCGGACCUUUGCCACCUCCAUCUGACUUUUUGCUUUCAGUUUGGUACCAAAGCCGUGCAGCACGCCUGUCUGUUGUUUGUUUGACUGUUGGUGUUGUUUGUUUUCUCUGUGUUCUAAUCUUCCUUAGAACUAACAUGGGACAGUCCCUAACAAUGCCCCUAAGUCUCACUCUUGAUCAUUAGAAAGACGUCCACGACCGGACACACAACCAGUCCGUCGAGGUUAAAAAAAAGGAAAAUGGCAGACUCUCUGCACAUCCGAGUGGCCCACUUUCGGAGCGGGAUGGCCAGUGAAUGGCACAUUUAAUAAGAUCAUUAUUUUACAGGUUAAAGAUCGGGUCGUCCACGGACAUCCUGACCAGGUUUCUUAUAUUAUCACUUGAGAGAGUCUCGCCUUAACCCCCCCCCCCGGGCGGAACCCUUCGUGGACCCGAAUUGGCCUCCCCUCAACCCCCAGCCUGUCCGCUCAGCCCCACCCGGUCCGCCGGCCACGUCUUCCUCUCUCUACCUUUGUGAAAUCAGAGCCUUCUAAGAAACCUGUCCUCCCGGCAGACCCAAACUCCCCUCUCAUAGAUCUUCUCUCUGACAGGCCCGGCUGAAAUGGAGGAGGCAGAGCCGCCGGCCAGAUCAGUUGCCGGGCCACAGUCUGAUAAGGGUUUCUCCCCUGUCGCAGGGAGAUUGCGCAAUAAGCGGGAGGUGAUGCCAGAUUCAACCUCCAAGGCUUUCCCACUUAGACAGGGAACCGGUGGCCAGACCCAAUACUGGCCGUUUUCAGCAGCUGACAUUUACAAUUGGAAACAACACAACCCUUCUUUCUCCAAAGAUCCGGUGGCACUCACCGACCUAAUAGAAUCUGUUUUACUUACCCACCAGCCUACUUGGUUGGGAUGACUGCCAACAGCUCUUACAGGCCCUCUUAACCUCAGAAAAAAAAAAAAAAACAAACAAAGAGUGUUCCUAGAGGCCAGAAAGCGUGUUCUGGGAGAUGAUGGGCAUCCCACCCAGCUGCCUGAGGACCAAACUGGGAUUUUAAUACAGCUGAAGGUAAGGGACACCUACGCCUUUAUCGCCAGUUGCUUCUAGCGGGUCUCCGAGGGGCUAUACGACGCCCUACUAAUUUGGCUCAGGUAAAACAGGUAUUACAGGAAGCAGGGGAAACUCCCUCUGCCUUUCUAGAGAGACUUAAGGAGGCCUACCGUAUGUACACUCCCUAUGACCCAGAUGACCCAGGACAAAUGACGAGUGUCUCUAUGUCCUUCAUCUGGCAGGCUGCUCCAGAUAUCAGGACUAAGUUACAGAGGUUAGAAAAUUUGCAGGGCUAUACAUUACAGGAUUUACUUAAAGAAGCUGAAAAGAUUUUUAAUAAGAGAGAGAUAAAAAAAAAAAAAAACAAAAAAUUGAGUCGAAUCUUGGCUGCCGUAGUUCAGGGCCAAAAAAGGAAGGGAGAUAGGGGGGGAGCUCGAAAGGGGCUAAAGCUGGAUAAAGAUCAAUGUGCCUAUUACAAAGAAAAAGGACACUUGGCCAGAGAGUGCUCCAAGAAGCCUGGCGGACCCCGAAAGCCUCGACCACGAACCUCCCUCUUGGCUCUAGAUAAAGAUUAGGGAGGUCAGGGCCAGGAGCCCCCCCCUGAGCCCAGGGUAACGCUUAAGUUGGGGGGCAGCCGGUUACUUUCCUGGUAGACACAGGAGCCCAGCAUUCAGUCCUCACCCAAGCUUCAGGACAACUCAGCGACCGGACGGCCUGGGUACAAAGAGCUACUGGUGAGAAACAAUACCGAUGGACUACGGACCACCGGGUUCAGCUGGCUACCGGUAAGGUGACCCAUUCCUUCUUACAUGUUCCGGACUGCCCGUACGCUCUGCUGGGCCGUGACCUGCUCACCAAACUAAAUUCAUUUUGAGGAAGGAGGGGCCCAAAUAACUGGCCCCCAUGGAAAUCCCCUUCAAGUUCUAACCCUACAACUAGAGGAUGAAUAUAGACUAUAUGAACCGGGACAGGACAAGCCACAAUCCCUAGAAAUAGACACUUGGGUCACGAAUUUUCCACUGGCUUGGGCAGAGACUGGUGGGAUGGGGUUGGCGUUCCAACAGCCCCCCUUAAUUAUACAGUUAAAGGCCACUACAACUCCAGUCUCCAUAAAACAAUACCCCCUGUCACAUAAAGCUUAUCAAGGUAUAAGGCUUCACAUUACGAGGCUUCUAGAUCAAGGCAUCCUAGUCCCCUGCCGGUCGCCUUGGAAUACGCCUCUUCUGCCUGUUAAGAAACCAGGCACUGGAGCUUAUAGGCCAAUACAAGACUUGAGAAAGGUCAACAAGAGGAUAGAAGAUAUUCAUCCGACUGUUCCAAACCCUUACAAUUUGCUCAGUAACUGUUCAUCGAUGAGAAACAGGGGUAUGCUAAAGGGGUCCUAACACAAAGGUUGGGACCCUGGAAACGCCCUGUGGCCUACCUGUCUAAGAAAUUGGACCCUGUGGCCUCCGGCUGGCCACCGUGCCUAAGGAUGGUGGCUGCUAUUGCUGUCCUGAUCAAGGAUGCUGGAAAAUUGACUUUGGGACAGCCACUCACCAUCCUAGCACCCCACGCAGUGGAGGCCUUGGUAAAGCAGCCCCCAGACCGCUGGCUCUCUAAUUCUCACACCAAGCCUUGUUACUGGAUGCAGAACGGGUUCAGUUUGGGCCCAUAGUCGCCCUCAAUCCUGCGACCUUGCUUCCUCUACCAGAGGAGACAGAACAGCAUGACUGCCUACAAAUCCUCGCAGAAGUACAUGGAACCAGGCCGGACCUAUCGGACCAGCCUCUUCAGAAUGCUGACCACACAUGGUACACGGAUGACAACAGCUUCUUGGCAGAGGGAGAGCGAAAGGCUAGAGCUGCGGUCACUACGGAGGACAAAGUGAUUUGGGCGAAAGCCCUGCCUGCUGGUACCUCCGCACAACGGGCUGAACUCAUCGCCUUGACUCAGGCGCUCAAGAUGACAAAAGCCCUUCUCUGAGGGCCCAUUUACAGGCCCUACAGAUUGUGCAGAGAGACGUCUGGAGACCUUUGGCCGCUGCUUACCAGGACAAGCUUGAGCAUCCGGUGGUGCCACACCCGUUCCAGAUUGGAGACACCGUGUGGGUGCGCAGAUACCAGACCAAGAAUCUCGAGCCACGGUGGAAAGGACCCUACACCGUCCUCCUUAGAUCCACGCACCACACGUCAAGGCAGUCCGGUCUGAGGAAUUGACUAAUCACAACACUACACCCCAGACAUGGAGAAUUCAGCGCACUCCAAACACCUUAAAGUUAUAACUCCUACGUGGCUCCUCCUAGCCCUUUUGUGGCCUAGAGUCAGUGGGGAAAUAAGCCCCCACCAGACAGAAAUUUCUUAACCAAGUCGAGUGAAAGAUUUCACUCAAAGUUAACAAAAAAAAAUGGGGGAAUGAAAGACCCCAGCUUAA